AUGAGUUUUAUCAUCGUUACCACGGAAACUAAGCAACCUGGAAUGAGCCAGCUCUCGUUAUCUUCAGACCUCUGCCGUUACGGGCACAAGAUCCCUGCACAGUCCCAAGGAGAAAAAGCUGCUCUCAGCAGCUCUGAGACCUCUCCCAAGCAUCCAUCAUCGUGGUCCUCCUUUCAGUACGGAUCCCGUACACUUUGUGCACACCGAUGUACCCUGAAGCAAAAUCUUCCUAUCAGAGGAGCACGACCUAGUUUUGGCCCUAAAUUUGACAAUCAGGCUCUUUGUCAGCGAGAAGAAAGAGACACCUCCAAGGGGGAGUGCCAGCGGAUCUGUGGCAGAAACCUAACUCAGGAGGAUUCAUAACUCAGGAUGGAGAUGCCAGCUUCUGCCCAUUUGUGCAUGGAAUAGCAAAGGAAAAGCUUCAUCACCGUGCUACCGAUACAGCACGGAACUAUUCAAAUAAAAAGAGAGAAAAGCUUUCUCUUUUUGACCUG
rnacentral:lncRNA from 1 species